rnacentral:rRNA from 1 species
CCUACGGGAGGCAGCAGUGAGGAAUAUUGGUCAAUGGACGCAAGUCUGAACCAGCCAUGCCGCGUGCAGGAAGACGGCUCUAUGAGUUGUAAACUGCUUUUGUACGAGGGUAAACGCAGAUACGCGUAUCUGGCUGAAAGUAUCGUACGAAUAAGGAUCGGCUAACUCCGUGCCAGCAGCCGCGGUAAUACGGAGGAUUCAAGCGUUAUCCGGAUUUAUUGGGUUUAAAGGGUGCGUAGGCGGUCGGAUAAGUUAGAGGUGAAAUCCCGAGGCUCAACUUCGGAAUUGCCUCUGAUACUGGUCGGCUAGAGAGUAGUUGCGGUAGGCGGAAUGUAUGGUUGAGCGGUGAAAUGCUUAGAGAUCAUACAGAACACCGAUUGCGAAGGCAGCUUACCAAGCUACUUCUGACGUUGAGGCACGAAAGCGUGGGGAGCAAACAGGAUUAGCUACCCCUGUAGUC